AACGCACGAGACCUGCGGACCUGCGGAAGGAUCAUUACCGAGUGAGGGUCCCCACGGGCCCGACCUCCCAACCCUAUGUUUACUGAACCUCUGUUGCUUCGGCGGACCCGCCUCACGGCCGCCGGAGGAUCGUCACAGAUCCUCUGGCCCGCGUCCGCCGACGGCCAACCUAAACUCUGUAUGAAUCGUGUCAUGAUGUCUAAGUACUAUGAUUAAAUUAAAAGCAAAACUUUUAACAAU
rnacentral:misc_RNA from 1 species